GUUCAUUAGUCAGGUUCAGCAUCUUCUUUUAAGAAGACAGGACACUGACCUUUCGUUGUAGGAAGCAUUUCAUCCAAAAUGGUUAACAGCCCUAGCCUGUUCGGCUCAGUUGGAUAGCACAUCGGCCUGCGGACUGAAGGGUCCCAGGAUUGAUUCCGGUCAGGGGCACAUGCCCGGGUUGUGGGCUCGAUCCCCAGUGUGGGGUGUGCAAGAGGCAGCUGAUCGAUGAUU